UACGUAGGCAGCGAGCGUUGUUCGGAGUUACUGGGCGUAAAGCGUGCGUAGGCGGUUGUCUAAGUUUGGUGUGAAAUCUCCCGGCUUAACUGGGAGGGUGCGCCGAAAACUGGGUGACUGGAGUGUCGGAGAGGUAAGCGGAAUUCCUGGUGUAGCGGUGAAAUGCGUAGAGAUCAGGAGGAACACCUGUGGUGUAGACAGCUUACUGGACGAUAACUGACGGCUGAGGCACGAAAGCGUGGGUAGCAAACAGG
rnacentral:rRNA from 1 species